GAUGAAGAACGUAGCUAAAUGCGAUACUUGGUGUGAAUUGCAGAAUCCCGUGAACCAUCGAGUCUUUGAACGCAAGUUGCGCCCGAAGCCAUUAGGCCGAGGGCACGCCUGCCUGGGCGUCACACGUCGUUGCCCCCCCAUCUACUCCUUCGGGAUUGCGGGGGGCGGAUGAUGGCCUCCCGUGCGCCUCGUCGCGCGGUUGGCCUAAAUGCCAAGUCCUCGGCGACGCACGCCACGACAAUCGGUGGUUGCGAAACCUCGGUUGCCUGUCGUGUGCGGUCGUCGCGCAUCGAGGGCUCGAAAAAAUUGCCGGGCUUCGGCUCGACUUUCAACGCGACCCCAGGUCAGGCGGGGUUACCCGCUGAAUUUAAGCAUAUCAAUAAGCGGAGGA
rnacentral:misc_RNA from 1 species